ACCCUUUAAUGUUUGAUGUUCUAACGUGGACCCGUGAUCCGGGUUGCGGACAGUGUCUGGUGGGUAGUUUGACUGGGGCGGUCUCCUCCUAAAGAGUAACGGAGGAGCACGAAGGUUGGCUAAUCCUGGUCGGACAUCAGGAGGUUAGUGCAAUGGCAUAAGCCAGCUUGACUGCGAGCGUGACGGCGCGAGCAGGUGCGAAAGCAGGUCAUAGUGAUCCGGUGGUUCUGAAUGGAAGGGCCAUCGCUCAACGGAUAAAAGGUACUCCGGGGAUAACAGGCUGAUACCGCCCAAGAGUUCAUAUCGACGGCGGUGUUUGGCACCUCGAUGUCGGCUCAUCACAUCCUGGGGCUGAAGUAGGUCCCAAGGGUAUGGCUGUUCGCCAUUUAAAGUGGUACGCGAGCUGGGUUUAGAACGUCGUGAGACAGUUCGGUCCCUAUCUGCCGUGGGCGCUGGAGAACUGAGGGGGGCUGCUCCUAGUACGAGAGGACCGGAGUGGACGCAUCACUGGUGUUCGGGUUGUCAUGCCAAUGGCACUGCCCGGUAGCUAAAUGCGGAAGAGAUAAGUGCUGAAAGCAUCUAAGCACGAAACUUGCCCCGAGAUGAGUUCUCCCUGAGACUUAAAGUCUCCUGAAGGAACGUUGAAGACGA
rnacentral:rRNA from 1 species